AGUGAACGCUGGCGGUAUGCCUAACACAUGCAAGUCGAACGGCCACACAAUAAGAUCUUGCCCUUACGGGUGGCGAGUGACGGACGGGUGAGGCAUACAUCAGAAUCUACUUUUUCGUGGGGGAUAACGUGGGACAACUUCCACUAAUACCGCAUACGACCUACGGGUGAAAUCAGUGGUUAUUCGGGCCUUGCCCGAUUGAAUGAGACGAUGCCGGAUUAGCUAGUUGGCGGGGUAAGGGCACACCAAGGCGACGAUCCGUAGCUGGUCUGAGAGGAUGAUCAGCCACACUGGAACUGAGACACGGUCCAGACUCCUACGGGAGGCAGCAGUGGGGAAUAUUGGACAAUGGGCGCAAGCCUGAUCCAGCCAUACCGCGUGGGUGAAGAAGGCCUUCGGGUUGUAAAGCCCUUUUGUUGGGAAAGAAAAGCAGCAGGUUAAUACCCCGCUGUUCUGACGGUACCCAAAGAAUAAGCACCGGCUAACUUCGUG
rnacentral:rRNA from 1 species